rnacentral:RNase_P_RNA from 1 species
GCAGUGAGGGGGCUUGUCGCUUUAUGCCGGGAGAAGAAAGAGGAAAGUCCGGGCAACAUAGAGCAGCAUGCUUUUUAACGGAAAGUCGUCGGUGACGGCGAGGUUAAUGUGACAGAAAAUAACCGCCGGAAGAGAGUUCUCUUCCGGUAAGGGUGAAAAGGCGAGGUAAGAGCUCACCGCUCUGCGGGCGACCGUCAGAGGCUGCACAACCCAUGUGUUGCAAGGCCAAGUAUACCGGCAUCCAAGGAUUGCUCGUCCAUUGUCGGGGGGUAGGCUGCUAAAGUAGGCGGGCAACCGCCGUACUCAGAUAAAUGACAGGCAUUCAGCCACGUGAGACUGAUACAUAACCCGGCUUAUACCCUCUCUGCAACU